rnacentral:ncRNA from 2 species
AUAUUAUCAAGAGUGGACGAAAGAAUCGGCUUUUCGACUCCGCAGCAACCUAUUGAGUUAGGUGCUAAUACCGACAAAGUUACGGAAUGGACUUUGAAUGAUGAUUU